rnacentral:rRNA from 1 species
CUUCGGGUUGUAAAGUACUUUCAGCAGUGAGGAAGGGGGUAUCGUUAAUAGCGGUAUCUUUUGACGUUACGGGCAGAAGAAGCACCGGCUAACUCCGCMMCAGCAGCCGCGGUAAUACGGAGGGUGCGAGCGUUAAUCGGAAUUACUGGGCGUAAAGCGCAUGCAGGUGGUUUGUUAAGUCAGAUGUGAAAGCCCGGGGCUCAACCUCGGAAUUGCAUUUGAAACUGGCAGGCUAGAGUACUGUAGAGGGGGGUAGAAUUUCAGGUGUAGCGGUGAAAUGCGUAGAGAUCUGAAGGAAUACCGGUGGCGAAGGCGGCCCCCUGGACAGAUACUGACACUCAGAUGCGAAAGCGUGGGGAGCAAACAGGAUUAGAUACCCUGGUAGUCCACGCCGUAAACGAUGUCUACUUGGAGGUUGU